UGCAGUCGAACGAAGUCUUCGGACUUAGUGGCGGACGGGUGAGUAACACGUGGGAACGUGCCUUUAGGUUCGGAAUAACUCAGGGAAACUUGUGCUAAUACCGAAUGUGCCCUUCGGGGGAAAGAUUUAUCGCCUUUAGAGCGGCCCGCGUCUGAUUAGCUAGUUGGUGAGGUAAAGGCUCACCAAGGCGACGAUCAGUAGCUGGUCUGAGAGGAUGAUCAGCCACAUUGGGACUGAGACACGGCCCAAACUCCUACGGGAGGCAGCAGUGGGGAAUCUUGCGCAAUGGGCGAAAGCCUGACGCAGCCAUGCCGCGUGAAUGAUGAAGGUCUUAGGAUUGUAAAAUUCUUUCACCGGGGACGAUAAUGACGGUACCCGGAGAAGAAGCCCCGGCUAACUUCGUGCCAGCAGCCGCGGUAAUACGAAGGGGGCUAGCGUUGCUCGGAAUUACUGGGCGUAAAGGGAGCGUAGGCGGACAUUUAAGUCAGGGGUGAAAUCCCGGGGCUCAACCUCGGAAUUGCCUUUGAUACUGGGUGUCUUGAGUGUGAGAGAGGUAUGUGGAACUCCGAGUGUAGAGGUGAAAUUCGUAGAUAUUCGGAAGAACACCAGUGGCGAAGGCGACAUACUGGCUCAUUACUGACGCUGAGGCUCGAAAGCGUGGGGAGCAAACAGGAUUAGAUACCCUGGUAGUCCACGCCGUAAACGAUGAUUGCUAGUUGUCGGGAUGCAUGCAUUUCGGUGACGCAGCUAACGCAUUAAGCAAUCCGCCUGGGGAGUACGGUCGCAAGAUUAAAACUCAAAGGAAUUGAC
rnacentral:rRNA from 1 species